rnacentral:rRNA from 1 species
CGGCAGGCCUAACACAUGCAAGUCGAGCGGUAGCACAGAGAGCUUGCUCUCGGGUGACGAGCGGCGGACGGGUGAGUAAUGUCUGGGAAACUGCCUGAUGGAGGGGGAUAACUACUGGAAACGGUAGCUAAUACCGCAUAAUGUCGCAAGACCAAAGUGGGGGACCUUCGGGCCUCAUGCCAUCAGAUGUGCCCAGAUGGGAUUAGCUAGUAGGUGGGGUAACGGCUCACCUAGGCGACGAUCCCUAGCUGGUCUGAGAGGAUGACCAGCCACACUGGAACUGAGACACGGUCCAGACUCCUACGGGAGGCAGCAGUGGGGAAUAUUGCACAAUGGGCGCAAGCCUGAUGCAGCCAUGCCGCGUGUGUGAAGAAGGCCUUCGGGUUGUAAAGCACUUUCAGCGGGGAGGAAGGCGGUGAGGUUAAUAACCUCACCGAUUGACGUUACCCGCAGAAGAAGCACCGGCUAACUCCGUGCCAGCAGCCGCGGUAAUACGGAGGGUGCAAGCGUUAAUCGGAAUUACUGGGCGUAAAGCGCACGCAGGCGGUCUGUCAAGUCGGAUGUGAAAUCCCCGGGCUCAACCUGGGAACUGCAUUCGAAACUGGCAGGCUAGAGUCUUGUAGAGGGGGGUAGAAUUCCAGGUGUAGCGGUGAAAUGCGUAGAGAUCUGGAGGAAUACCGGUGGCGAAGGCGGCCCCCUGGACAAAGACUGACGCUCAGGUGCGAAAGCGUGGGGAGUAAACAGGAUUAGAUACCCUGGUAGUCCACGCCGUAAACGAUGUCGAUUUGGAGGUUGUGCCCUUGAGGCGUGGCUUCCGGAGCUAACGCGUUAAAUCGACCGCCUGGGGAGUACGGCCGCAAGGUUAAAACUCAAAUGAAUUGACGGGGGCCCGCACAAGCGGUGGAGCAUGUGGUUUAAUUCGAUGCAACGCGAAGAACCUUACCUGGUCUUGACAUCCACAGAACUUUCCAGAGAUGGAUUGGUGCCUUCGGGAACUGUGAGACAGGUGCUGCAUGGCUGUCGUCAGCUCGUGUUGUGAAAUGUUGGGUUAAGUCCCGCAACGAGCGCAACCCUUAUCCUUUGUUGCCAGCGGUCCGGCCGGGAACUCAAAGGAGACUGCCAGUGAUAAACUGGAGGAAGGUGGGGAUGACGUCAAGUCAUCAUGGCCCUUACGACCAGGGCUACACACGUGCUACAAUGGCAUAUACAAAGAGAAGCGACCUCGCGAGAGCAAGCGGACCUCAUAAAGUAUGUCGUAGUCCGGAUUGGAGUCUGCAACUCGACUCCAUGAAGUCGGAAUCGCUAGUAAUCGUAGAUCAGAAUGCUACGGUGAAUACGUUCCCGGGCCUUGUACACACCGCCCGUCACACCAUGGGAGUGGGUUGCAAAAGAAGUAGGUAGCUUAACCUUCGGGAGGGCGCUUACCACUUUGUGAUUCAUGACU